rnacentral:rRNA from 1 species
GACAGAGGGUGCAAACGUUGUUCGGAAUUACUGGGCGUAAAGCGCGUGUAGGCGGCCCUGCAAGUCGGAUGUGAAAUCCCACGGCUCAACCAUGGAAGUGCAUUCGAAACUGCAGAGCUAGAGUCCUGGAGAGGAAGGUGGAAUGCUUGGUGUGGAGGUGAAAUUCGUAGAUAUCAAGCGGAACACCGGUGGCGAAGGCGGCCUUCUGGACAGUGACUGACGCUGAGACGCGAAAGCGUGGGGAGCAAACAGG